GUCCAGGCCCUCCCCUCAGAGAGGCUGUACCAUUGACCUGGGAGAUGUGGGUUGUUUUCUGAUGUCUUUCUCAGGUGACUCAAGUGCAGAGGUGAAACGUGAGAGUCCCUCCUCAAGGAUGUCAGUACAAUCUACUUUAGAAGCUGGCCAUUGAAGAGAGAAGAGUGAUCAUGUUACAUGGCUGGCAUGGAGCACGCAGGCACUCCAGGGCAUACAUGUGCUGAGAAGGUAGGCCAUGUGUGCUACAGAGAGAACCACUGAGGCGCUCAGCAGGAAUACCCUGAGUCUGCUGCACAAAGCAGAAUGCUCACAAGCCAUGUGCUGUGUUUCUAAUUCUGCAGCGGGUUAGAAUGCAGACAGGACUGAGGAGGGCUUCAGAGACCAGCGACUUGGCAAGCAAGUGAGAGAGAAAGAGAAACCAAGGUAGGAAUGGGACUCUAAUCCUUACAGACUGCAGACAGUUCAGAGGCAGCCCCUUAGCUGGGUAGGAAAUGAGAGAACCACACUCAGACCUUGGCUGCCUGUCUCUGUACUUCAUUGGUUUUAUGUAAGAGUGGGAGGCAGUUUUUAUUUUAUUUAUUUGUUUGUUUGUUUAUUAUUUUGUUCUUCUAGGGUUUUUGUUUUUGUUUUGUUUUUGAGACAGGGUUUUUUCUGUGUUGCCCUGGCUGUCCUGGAACUGGAAUUCACAGAGAUCCACCUGCCUCUGCCUCCUGAGUGCUGGGAAUGACAUACCAAGUUGCAGUAAGAUGAGGCACAUACCCUCACAUUAAGGCUGGAAAAGGCAACCAACCCAGUAUAAGGGAAAAGGUACCAAAGGCCAGCAAAAGAGUCAGAGACAGCCCCUGUUCACACUGUUAGGAGUCCCACAAGAGGACCAAGCUACACAACUGUAACAUAUAAGUAGAGGGUCUAGAUCAAUCUAGAUCUAGACUGAUAAUUCUACAGAUACUAAGUACCAGACCCCAGGCUAUACAGUUACAAGAUUGUGUGACACUAUUCACCAGUACAGCAUCAUCACCAGGGCUCUGUGGUUCCAAGAGAAGGGAGGGCACCUGUCAAGGUGGAUAGCAGGCUCCCUGGUUCAGUCUCUGUGAACCCCUAUGAGCCCGGUUAGUUGGUUUUGUGGAUUUUCUUUGCAACAUCCUUGACCUCUCUCCUACAAUCCUUCCUCCCCUUCUUCUGAAGGAUUCCCUGAGCUCCACCUAAUGUUUGGCUCUGGGUCUCUGUAUCUGCUCCCAUCAGUUGCCGGGGGAAGCCUCUCUGGUGAUGAUUGAGCUAGGAACCAAUCUAUGAGUAUAGCAGAA
rnacentral:lncRNA from 1 species